AUGAAUUUUCACUAAAAAUAACGAUUAAAAUAAUCAAAUUAUUUAAAUGAUAUGUUCAUAUUAUAAAAAACAUGGUCAUGGGCAUUGGGUAAAUUCUCUUGCAUUAAGCACAGAGUACGUUCUUCGGACCAGUGAUGCAUUAGGGUUAUAAUUAGCAGAAUAGAUAUGUAUUUGUCUGAGUUUUAUCGCCGAUUUUGUAGUUUGAUGAUGAUAGCUUUUGUUGUAGUUCAGGUUGAUGAUCUAGGAAUUGUUUUCACCGAUCUGUAGUUACACAUUCUUUUACAAGGUAAGGGUUCUUACAAUUAUUGAUAUGCAAUUUUCUUUGUCUUCUGAUAUUAUCACCAGAAUAAGGUCUUCGUGUUUGAUUUUUUAGUUAUGUGAUUAUAAUUAUGUUAUGCUGUUCAACUAAAGAUUCAAGUGGGUCCAUGUUUGCUUUCGUCCUCUCAAUAUAGUGUUCUUCUUCGACCACCGAAAUCUCCUCUUAGUCACAUGUUGGUACACCAGGUACAUUUUUUCCCAAUUAUUGUUAGGUGAUGUGGCCGAUUAUUGUUAGGUGAUGUAGGAGCUGCAUAAGAACUUCUGAAUCUCUUUCUAUUAUGUCAUAAUGUAGUCAAGGUACAUUCAUCAAACUCCACUAAAUUUCCCCAUUCAAAGAAGAAUAUAAAAAAUUUGAUUAAACCACCGGCCCUUUGAUUGAAACAACACACACCCAAAAGUUAGUUAUUUUGCUUAACUUGGCCUACAUGAAGUGUGGUUUUACUCAUAUGACACACUUUCUCUUUGUAUCACUUUUUAUUUUCAAACUAAAAUAAAUAUUAACCAACAUUUUAUUUCAUAGAAAACCCCUAAUUCGGGUUCGGGUGGCUUUGAAUUCCAUGGAUGGAGUACAUUAUAUUCGUGAGGUGGACUUGAAAUUAUGUGAGAGCUAUUAACAACUAUCUAAUGCUUUGGCCACGAUGUUUAGUGCAUUCACCAUGGGUACAUCCGUCUUUUGUUUCUUAAUUAUUGAAUUUAUUGUUAAGGUGUUUUCUCAAGCCAAUGUAUUUUUGUGUAUGAUGCUUAUUUUUGUGGGAAGAGUGGGAAGUGGAGCUCUUCGUAACACCACUAUAAUGAUCCAUCAACCCUUCGAUGGGUUGGGGGCAAGGUAAAGAUACGACUGUUCACACUAAGCAAAUUGUUCGUCUUUGGUAUUCGCUAAAUGCAUUAUAUGUAAAAGCUAAAUGCAUUAUAUGUAAAAGCAUAUGGGACAAAACAUCGAUGUAAUUCAAAAUAAUAUGGAUCGAGAUUGUUAUAUAACCCCGGAAGAAGCUAUAAGGAGCUUGGGAUCAUAGAAAAAUUGGGCGGUGAAGGCUGCCAUGGAUGUAUUUCUCAAGGUGCGCAUAAGGAAUUUGGCAUGUGUUAAUAGCAUAAUGGUUUUCAGACGUGAGAAUUCAAGAAAUGACUAUAGGUAUCCUGUCAAAGGAUGGCCAGACUUCAUGUGUUCAAAUGGUAUGUCAGUCGGUCAGACUUGCACUUUUGUUUUCCUCCAAGAAGGAAAUGUACAUUGGUCCUUACCAAAGUCAAUUAGCAUUGCCUCCUUUUACUGCUAGAGAGACACUUUUUAAUCAAGAUUUUAGAUGCUACCUUUUUUAUUUUAGAUGCUACUUGUGUUACUUUUGAAUCGGAUAUUAGACGCUACUUUAGGGAUGGUUUUUGUUGGUUUAUAUGCUUGAUACCAAGUAGAAAUUAAAUGGAACAGACUUUAGUGGAAACCUGUGCUACUUUCGAAUAUAGAUCUAGUUUUUUAUAUGGUUAUUUGUACUCUGUAUAUUUGAAUUGCCAUACAUAAUUUCUUUUUAUAUGCAUAUUAAAAUA
rnacentral:lncRNA from 1 species